AGAGUUUGAUCCUGGCUCAGGACGAACGCUGGCGGUGUGCUUCACACAUGCAAGUCGAGCGAAUGAAGAAGGUAGCUUGCUACUUUUGGAUUUAGCGGCGGACGGGUGAGUAAUAUAUAGGAAUCUGCCCUAGAGCGGGGAACAACAGACCGAAAGGUUUGCUAAUGCCCCAUAGGUACGCAGUCUUCGGAUUGUUUAUUAAAGGAGUAAUCCACUCUAGGAUGAGCCUGUAUCCGAUUAGCUAGUUGGCGGGGUAAAGGCCCACCAAGGCUACGAUCGGUAGUUGGCCUGAGAGGAUGAUCAGCCACAAUGGGACUGAGACACGGCCCAUACUCCUACGGGAGGCAGCAGUGGGGAAUUUUACACAAUGGGGGAAACCCUGAUGUAGCGACACCGCGUGAACGAAGAAGCCUUUUGGGGUGUAAAGUUCUGUCGGCUGGAACGAAAAAAAUGACGGUACCAGCAAAGGAAGCAUCGGCUAACUACGUGCCAGCAGCCGCGGUAAGACGUAGGAUGCAAGCGUUGUCCGGAUUUAUUGGGCGUAAAGAGUUCGUAGGCGGUUAUUUAAGUCUGGUGUUAAAUACUGUGGCCCAACCACAGAACUGCAUUGGAUACUGGAUGACUUGAGUGCGGUAGAGGCGAGUGGAAUUCCCAGUGUAGCGGUGAAAUGCGUAGA
rnacentral:rRNA from 1 species